UGGGGAAUUUUGGACAAUGGGGGCAACCCUGAUCCAGCCAUGCCGCGUGCGGGAAGAAGGCCUUCGGGUUGUAAACCGCUUUUGGUCGGGAAGAAAAGGCCACUCUUAACACGGGUGGUUCUUGACGGUACUGACAGAAUAAGCACCGGCUAACUACGUGCCAGCAGCCGCGGUAAUACGUAGGGUGCGAGCGUUAAUCGGAAUUACUGGGCGUAAAGCGUGCGCAGGCGGUUCGUUGUGUCCGAUGUGAAAGCCCCGAGCUCAACUUGGGAAUGGCAUUGGAAACUGGCGGGCUGGAGUGUGGCAGAGGGGGGUGGAAUUCCACGUGUAGCAGUGAAAUGCGUAGAGAUGUGGAGGAACACCGAUGGCGAAGGCAGCCCCCUGGGCCAACACUGACGCUCAGGCACGAAAGCGUGGGGAGCAAAC
rnacentral:rRNA from 1 species